UGGAGUUCAUGCUCAAGGUCUGCUCAGGGCACCCAGCCCAGACUGGAUGGAUGAGCAAGGUUUUAAGACCACCCAGGCUUGAUUCCCAGGAUCCAUAUGGUGCCUCAGAACCAUGCGUAACUGUAGUUCCAGGGAUCUGACACCCGCUUCUUACCUCUGCCAAGAAUACGAUGAGACCGCUGUCUGAAGCUCCUCUGCACGACUUCUCUGCAGAUGGCUGUACUCUCAAACCGGGGCCAAAAUACACGCUCCCCUGGCUGUUUCCUCACGUACUUUUGUCAUAGCAGCAAGAGAAGCAACUUACACACUGGUAAUGGUUUCAGCAUGAACUUACAGAAAAUGAGUCUGACUCCCGGAUAUCUACAACGAUACUAGAUUAUUACGGGUUUCCAUCGCCUGGUACACUUGGAUUCAAGGAACGUCUGAAACACUCCUGUAAAAUUCUUCUCCAAGGAUCUAUGUCCUUACACCCUAAACUGCUCCAUCAAGAGGUAAAUUAUUUCUUUCAGUGCCUGGCAAAUAAAAACACGUGUAUAAGCAAGCAGGAGCCCGGACCAUAAAAUUGCUUCCAUGGGAACUUACAAGACAAUGGCACAGCCCAGAAGCAGAAAACCCUGCAUACACUCUCAGCUAUGGCUGCACAAGCUUUAUACUCAUCACAGUGGACAGGAUCCCUACAGCCAGCAAAAGGUG